GGAUGCGAUCAUACCAGCACUAAUGCACUAGAUCCCAUCAUAACUCUGUAGUUAAGCGUGCUUGGGGGAGAGUCGUACUAGGAUGGGUGACCUCCUGAAAAGUUCUCGUGUUGCAUCCC
rnacentral:rRNA from 1 species